rnacentral:rRNA from 1 species
GAUGAACGCUGGCGGCGUGCCUAAUACAUGCAAGUCGAGCGAACAGACGAGGAGCUUGCUCCUCUGACGUUAGCGGCGGACGGGUGAGUAACACGUUGAUAACCUACCUAUAAGACUGGGAUAACUUCGGGAAACCGGAGCUAAUACCGGAUAAUAUAUUGAACCGCAUGGUUCAAUAGUGAAAGACGGUUUUGCUGUCACUUAUAGAUGGAUCCGCGCCGCAUUAGCUAGUUGGUAAGUUAACGGCUUACCAAGGCAACGAUGCGUAGCCGACCUGAGAGGGUGAUCGGCCACACUGGAAGUGAGACACGGUCCAGACUCCUACGGGAGGCAGCAGUAGGGAAUCUUCCGCAAUGGGCGAAAGCCUGAAGGAGCAACGCCGCGUGAGUGAUGAAGGUCUUCGGAUCGUAAAACUCUGUUAUUAGGGAAGAACAAAUGUGUAAGUAACUAUGCACGUCUUGACGGUACCUAAUCAGAAAGCCACGGCUAACUACGUG